ACGUUCGGGGGUAACGGACAGAGCCCGUGAAUCUGGGCGGCAGAAUUCAGGAUCGACGGGUGGUGUGUGCCAGGCAUAUACGUGCGUGUAAAAGCGCGCGCGUGUGUCUGACACACACACGCGACGCUCGUUUGUCUGAUAUUUCUGUCGCCGCAUCGGCGGCAACAGUGUGUGUGUGUUGCAUCAAGCACCAUAUAUAUAUAUAUGCUGCACGAUGCAUGGACGUCGCGACCUGUUCGAUGUCGGUCGAUGCUUGUGUGUAUGUGUGUAUUGUGUGCACACAAGCGAGGA
rnacentral:rRNA from 1 species